rnacentral:lncRNA from 1 species
CUUUGGAAACACCAAAGGCAAAGUUCUUACCUUGUUAUCAAAAGAUAUACCAUGGCUCUGAAAAGCCUUGUGCUCUGCCUCACACCGAGCAAUGACUUCAGGGCAGCAGUACUUCUUCAAAUUUUCUAGGUCUCUCUGCACAAACAAAACAUUUGUGUACACCUUGUUAUCAAAAGAUAUACCAUGGCUCUGAAAAGCCUUGUGCUCUGCCUCACACCGAGCAAUGACUUCAGGGCAGCAGUACUUCUUCAAAUUUUCUAGGUCUCUCUGCACAAACAAAACAUUUGUGUACACAAAUACAAGAUCAGGAUGACUCUCAAAUGUGCACCACUCAAAAUGAUGUCUCCACAGUAAAAACAAUAAUUAUGAAAAAGCAUUAGAAAGGGGGCAAG